rnacentral:lncRNA from 10 species
CGUCCCCUUCCAGACUGUGGAAGCUUUGUUCUCUCUCUCUCUUUGCAAUAAAUCUUGCUACUGCUCACUCUUUGGGUCCACGCUACUUUUAUGAGCUGUAACACUCACCACGAAGAUCUGCAGCUUCACUCCUGAGCCCAGCGAGACCACAAGCCCACCCGGAGGAAUGAACAACUCCAGACGCGCUGCUUUAAGAGCUGUAACACUCACCGCGAAGGUCUGCAGCUUCACUCCUGAGACCAGCGAGACCACGAGGCCACCGGGAGGAGUGAACAACUCCAGACGCGCUGCCUUAAGAGCUGUAACACUCACCGCAAAGGUCUGCAGCUUCACUCCUGAGCCAGUGAGACCACGAACCCACCAGAAGGAAGAAACUCUGAACACAUCUGAACAUCAGCAGGGACAAACUCCAGACGCACCACCUUAAGAGCUGUAACACUCAUCGCGAGGGUCCGCGGUUUCAUUCUUGAAGUCAGUGAGACCAAGAACCCACCAAUUCCGGACACAUUAUUAUGUGAUGUAUGCUUAAGAGCCAUACCCCCAUGAAACAGGCCAGUCUUAAACUUUGCAUGUGACUGCAACUUUGUUCACCUUUUUAUCCUUAUUCCUGCUGCUGAAUUUUUUUAAAUUUGAAAUUAUUUCUGGAAAUGCAUUCCAUCAAAAAGUAAUUUUUACCAAAAUCCCUGUCUCAUGUUCUACUUCUUGGGAACCCAACCAAAAACAACAAGAAACUUGGCCUCUUAGCCAGGAUGGAUUAAAAAGGAAUGGAUUUACUUUCCCACAUGAAACAGCUAAAAACUUGAAUAUAUGAAGCAUUACUGCUGAAGACAUUGGACAUUAGACAAUGAAGGACAGUAAUUCCUGAAAGAAGGGAAACACACAAGGGAAGUUCUACAAUUGUCCGUGAGAUGAUAUUUUCCAGACCUUUGCAAAACAGAAAUCCAGGAGAAGACUGGCAGUCUUCCUGAGUUGAGAUGAAGCGGGGAGUCCAAUAGACUGAGUGGCUAGAGUCCACAGGGAAGGAAGGAUAUCAGAGAAGACAGAGCUAUAAUGAGGAAUGUGUGGACUGAAGAAGGUAGCUCUUUGAAGUCUAUAGGUGAGAACUCCAGCAUGUACCCAUGAGGACAAUACCCAAUAUGGGGUAAGGAACCACUCCCCCAAAAUCAAUGGAAACAAUAUCUGUGUAUCACACAGGGCUGAGAAAGCUUCUGUUCUCAUUAGCUACCUGAAGACAUAGCAAUAGAAACUACCAAAAAUGAAAAACAGUUUAAAAAAACAACAAAAACAAAUGAAUUUAUAUUAGUGAGAUGUAGAAUCUAUUCAAGUGACCUAAGAUGCAUACAAUUAUAUGAGAAAGAGGAUGGAAGGAAAAAUUAUUGAAGAAGCUAUGGCCAAAGGUUUUCAAAAUUUGAUUAAGACUAUGCAGCCACAGAUCCAAGAAACUCAACACAUUUCAAAUAUAAAAAACACAAAAAUAGGCACAUCAAAAUCAAAUUGGUUAAAAACAGCUGCAAAAAGCAAAUCUUAAAUCAGUCAGAGCGAAGAGCACAUUAUGUUCAGAGAAAAUGUAAAAAUAACAUCAGACUUUUUUGGAAGAAGCAAGGCAUCCUAGAACAAAAUGGAAUUGCCUAUUUCAAAAACAAAAGGGCGGAAAAGAUAUCAAACAUAUAAAAGAUGAAAAAAGAUAUCAGCAAAGAUGAGAACUUCAAGAAAUGUUAAUAAAAGUUCUUCCAGUAGGACAUAAAUAAUACUAUAGUUCUGUCACAUUUUGUGAGUGAGAUGUUGUCAUUGUCUGCCCAUUGUUCUUUUUAAAGACGUUGUAUAGUGCAGAAGUUUGGAAGAUUGAGUUGAUGUUUCUGUCUACAGUCAAGAGCAGGUUUCCUCAUAGCCUCGAAAGAUAAGGAUAAUGUCUCCCUCUAGAGCAAAUGGCAAGUGUGCUUGCUGCCCAAUGUAACAGAAAAUGUGCCCCAUGGAAGAAAGCAAAGUCAUGCUUACUGUCUAUUAUAAAAGACUCAGAUUCUCUAAGAUAGCCUGUGUUUACUUGCUUGGAAAGAAGAAAUUCCAGCAGCUUCAGACUUAAUAUCCUUGUUAGGUAAAAUCCAAAAAGAGAAGGUAAAUACUACCUACUUACAGUUCAGAAAAUUCUGGGCAAUGGGACACUUUGGACUAUAUGCCUAUACUCCAGGUAUGGUUCAAUGAGCAAUAAUCACACCAGGACCACAAGUAGUAGUUAUCUACUCAGCCAACACUUUCCUAAAUUUAUGCUGUACUCUCUCAACUGGUUGGCUAGCCUUCCUUGUUGUGUUCCGAACACCUAAAACCAUGCCUUGUACACAGUAAUGCCUGGUCUACAAUUAUAUGAUUGUAUACAUCAGUGGUUCUUAAAGCAUGUUCCAGAAUCUCUCAGGAUUUUUAGACACCUUCACAGGGUCCACAAUAUCAAAACUAUUUUCAUAAAAAUACAAAGUUCAAAAAGUUGAUUGACAUGGCUUCAGAGUUUGCAUUACCAGUAACUUUCGGAAACAACCAUUUAAGUUUUAGUAUAGUAUCAGGAAAAAUAUCUACAAGUAUCUAAGAAAAGUAUUAAAAUACCCUUCCCUUUUUCAACUAUAUGUCAACUAUCUACUUUAUAUUCUUUGAUCCUAAAAUUACAUAGCAAGAGAUUAAAAAUGGAUGCAUUUAUAAGAAUCCAGCUCUCUUAUAAUAGCUAGGUAUUAAAAAUUUGCAAAGAUAUAAAACAAGGCCACUCUUCUCUUUUUUAAUUAAUUUAUUUAUUAAUUUGUUUACACAAGAUCUCACUCGGUCACCCAGGCUGUAGU